AGUGAACGCUGGCGGUAGGCCUAACACAUGCAAGUCGAACGGCAGCACAGUAAGAGCUUGCUCUUACGGGUGGCGAGUGGCGGACGGGUGAGGAAUACAUCGGAAUCUACUUUUUCGUGGGGGAUAACGUAGGGAAACUUACGCUAAUACCGCAUACGACCUACGGGUGAAAGUAGGGGAUCUUCGGACCUUGCGCGAUUGAAUGAGCCGAUGUCGGAUUAGCUAGUUGGCGGGGUAAAGGCCCACCAAGGCGACGAUCCGUAGCUGGUCUGAGAGGAUGAUCAGCCACACUGGAACUGAGACACGGUCCAGACUCCUACGGGAGGCAGCAGUGGGGAAUAUUGGACAAUGGGCGCAAGCCUGAUCCAGCCAUACCGCGUGGGUGAAGAAGGCCUUCGGGUUGUAAAGCCCUUUUGUUGGGAAAGAAAAGCAGCAGGUUAAUACCCCGCUGUUCGGACGGUACCCAAAGAAUAAGCACCGGCUAACUUCGU
rnacentral:rRNA from 1 species